UUUAUAAAAAGACAGAUUUGAAAGAAAAUAAACAAAACUGUUUCAACGGAAUAAGAGGAAACCCAAGAAGAAGACACUGUACGCAGCUAUAAGAUGAGGAAGUAGAUUGAUGGAUACAGUAUAUUAGGAAAGGAGGGAGAAGAAGUCAAAGAGAAGGGUAAACAUACAUUUGAGAAAAUGAUAGAACAGAUUUAGGCAAGAAAAUAAUGAGACCUGGAAUAUAAUACAGACAGGGACAAGGCUCAAUGUCAAAAAGUUAUAGGAGAUAUAUGGUUAUCUGUCAGGAAGAGACCACCCUCUCUGCCUGGCUCCUCUUGCAGGUGAUCAUCUGUCAGGAAGAGACCACCCUCUCUGCAUGGCUCCUCACCCAGCUGAUCAGCUAUCUGUCAGGAAGAGAACACCCUCUCUGCAUGGUUCCUCCCCCAGCUGAUCAGCUAUCUGUCAGGAAGAGACCACCCUCUCUGCCUGGCUCCUCCCCCAGCUGAUCAACUAUCUGUCAGGAAGAGACCACCCUCUUUGCAUGGCUCCUCCCCCAGCUGAUCAGCUAUCUGUCAGGAAGAGACCACCCUCUCUGCCUGGCUCCUCCCCCAGCUGAUCAACUAUCUGUCAGGAAGAGACCACCCUCUCUGCCUGGCUCCUCCCCCAGCUGACCCGUUAUUUCCAUAAAGAAUAGAAUGGUAAUAAUCCCUUUCCAACCCUGGACCAUUCAUCUCCAGCUUCCCACUGCUAGCCGCUAUUUAUAGAUAGAAAAUACCCUGCUACUUUAUCAGCUCCCAUAUUAAAACCUAAACAUUAUAAUACCAAUGAAGUUUAAGCAACGCUAACAGGAUCAAGUGGAAACUGGCAACAAAGCGUUUUGAUAGCAACAUGCAAAGUGUUUUUAUGUAAAUGUUUACACAAGUGUGUAUUUCAUUAAAGACGGUUGACAAUUUGUUCGAGUGCAAAAUACUGUUUUCAGGACAACCUGUAUUUAUGCUCCCUCUCUCACCACGUCUCGUCACGUCUCAUCUCACCGCAUAACAUUACAUCUCACCACAUCUCGUCUCGUCACAUCUCACCACAUCUCGCCACAGCUCGUCACAUCGCAGCUCACCGCAUAACAUCUCACCACAUCUCGUCACGUCUCACCACGUCUCACCACAUCUCACCGCAUAACAUUANNNNNNNNNNCCACAUCUCACCACAUCUCGUCACAGCUCCCCACAUAACAUCUCACCACAUCUCGUCUCGUCACAUCUCACCACAGCUCGCCACAGCUCGUCACAGCUCCCCGCAUAACAUCUCACCACAUCUCGUCACGUCUCACCACGUCUCACACAUCUCGUCACAUCUCACCUCACCACAUAACAUUAAAUCUCAUCACACCUCAUAACAUUACAUCUCACCACGUCUCAUCGCAGCUCACCGCAUAACAUCUCACCACGUCUCACCACAUCUCGUCACAUCUCACCGCAUAACAUGACAUCCCAUCACAUCUCACCGCGUAACAUUACAUCCCAUCACAUCUCACCGCGUAACAUU
rnacentral:lncRNA from 13 species